CCUUUUUGUCGGCUGCAACGAGGGGGAGAGAGAUGGGGAGUGGUUCCAGAAAUUUCUUCCCCAUCUUUGAUCGUCCGUCGCCGGUGAACUUGGGUGCAUUGUCCGCCGCCACGGUAGGUGUUAGGGAGCUUGCAAAUCCUCCGCUGUUCCUCCUCUAUUUGUGUAGCAGCUGUGAGCGUUGAUGCCAUCCUUCUUCUUUCUCUUCUCUGCUGUCAGCUUGGUUAAGCACCGAAGAGCCUUCUUUCCUCCUCCCUGCUAGCACACCCAGAACCUUCUCCUCCUUGUUUCUACAAUAGUUGAAGUAAGGAUCUUGGAGUCUCUUCUCCUUUGCUGUUGCUGCGCGUGUUUGAAGGCUGGCUGUUCCUCUGUGUGCGUUUUGCUGUUGCUGUGCGUGUUUGAUGGCUGGCUGUUCCUCUGUGUGCGUUUUACUGUUGCUGUGUGCGUUUGAUGGCUGGCUGUUCCUCUGUGCGCGUUUUGCUGUUGCUGUACAUGUUUUAUGCUGGUUGUUGCUCUGUAUGUUUUGCUGUUGCUGUUUGUGUUUUUAUGGUUGGGGGGGAUUUGAGUAAAAUGAAAUUUGAAGUUUAAGAAAACUUGGAUUUGGUUAAAAACUGAAUUGAUUUAGGUUGUUGUCAUUGGAGAUAAAUAUAAAUAUGAAUUUGGUUUUGCCUUUGAA